AAAUCAUACUGAACCCAAACUCCCCCACUAUGUUGCCAUUUCCUCUGCCCUAUAGUGCUAUACCUCCGCCUCUCUCCUUUGUACUUUCGCAUUCACGACGAACUGGGUUCUCGCACACCCUUCAAUAUGACCACCUGUUUCUUCUCCUACCCCUCAACUCUCUCCCUGACUCCAUCUCCACACCAUUAAGCGCAACCCACCACCGUUACCACGACCGCCACUAAGCGCCACCAAAACCAAGUCAGCGACACCCACUCUAGCGCCGCCAUGCCACUCCAACAUCAUCCUAUACGUCACUCCAGGUGGUUCUGGUUGAAAUAUCGACAACGAUGCCAUGUUCGGUAGUACAAGAGUUGAAAGUGUGAUUGGUGGAGAAAUCAGCUGAAUCAUCCCAACCAGGUUCAAAGUACCUUCUAAUUCACCAGGAACACAUACUUACAUUGAGCAUCAGCUCUCUAUCUCUUUCUGGUCACUCAAACACCUUACCACCAUCGACAAAUGUCCUCUCUCUGUGGUGUUUAGGUUUCUAUUGCAUAUCUGCUUUGAUUAUUUGGAAUGACAGGAGCUGAUGGGUUUGUUCUUUCCAUUACUUGAAUUUUCUUCAACUUAUUGUUUUUUAGUGAUUUAUUGUUUGUAAAUAAGAAAAACGAGAUUUUUUUGAGUUUUCUUGAGCUACAGGUACACCAUUGAUUCAAAAGAUUGCUGGCACUUUUGAGAAUUUAAAUAAAUUUGAAUUCUCUAAUAGCAUGAUGGACUUGGUCAUGGUAGAUUUUACAUUGGUUUGAUGGUUCAUCUCUUUGCAAGAUAACCACAAGACGACAACUGAUGAUUUCAAGAAAAAAUGGCGAGAGAGGAAAGAAAUAAAUAAAAAUAAAAGAAAAAUAGAAUGAAUGUAAUAUAACAGCUUCUUCUUCUGAUGCUGGGCAAGUCAAUCUUAUUGUGCUGGGAAUUCAUGAUUCUGUUGGCAUUAAUGUCAUUGUAUAUAUUUAUUCUUUCAGAGCUUCAGUGAUACUAAAAUAUUUCUUUAUUUUUAAGGUUUGUUGUGAUUUUAUAAUCAUUUAAGAAUACAAAAUGCAUAAACUUUUUAAA